GUAAUGAAGUUUCGAGAAUAUAAAUGAAGUGAUUCGCAUCAAUGGAAUCAUAUCAGAAUAGCAUCUGCAAAGCUAAGCAUUCAGUUGAUAAUUCAUUUUGAAUCCGAAUAAAUCAUUUCAAUUUAUUAAAAUGAACAGCAAGACGGCUUUAAUUGUCCUAACUCUAUGCAUCAUUUUCGCCGAGCACGUUAUUUCCCGACGUUGCCACAGUGAAACUGGGAGAAACCGACGAGAAAGGAAUGGUGGUCUAUUCCGUCAAGACGGUAGAUUCGAUCGAUUCUAUCCAGGCGGUGGAUUUGGACCAAGAAUUCCAAUUCCAAAUUCAUCAAAUAUUUCCCAAACUGGACUGCCAAGUACACAGCCACUUGGAGGACAGAAUGGACAAUUCCCACCAAUACCGAUUGCUGCUAAUCUAACUCAAAAUGGACAAAAUAAUACACCAGUUUUACCUCAACCAAUACGUCCAACAGUAUGAAGAAUAUCUCAAUCAAAAAUACUAAGAUAACAGAACAAUAUCUUCUACAUAUUACUUUUUCUCUUCGCCUGCAGGCUAAAUUUCAUUUUGUUUUUAUUAUUCUAGAUAUUUGCAAUUCUUGUUCAAUUAAUUCAAAACAAGUUGAUUUAAUAAAAUAAAAAACUUCAAAAUUCAGCUGAAAGAAGAGUAUUUGCAUUUAAAUUAUUUCCCUCAAACGAUCAUAUCUAGUGCGGAAUUCAUCCGAAUCAUUAACGAGGAUCGUUUAUUGUUAUUUUCAACCAUGAACAAUUUCGAAAGAAUACUCAAACAAUACGUUUUAUCAACACACAAAAAACGAUCACCCAUUUUCGUUUAUUUUUCUACAGAAAACACAGCUGCCUCUGAGAAAACACGUAAAUAUAUGUAUUGACAUUUAAAUGAAUGUGAUCGACUGCAACUCUUUAUCAAGAAUAUACGUCGUACAUCGCACGUGUGCAAAUCGAUGAGCCGAUAAUGACGGAAUGAAAUGAAUACGAUUGCGUUUUUAUCAGUUGACAAAUUUUGAUUGCGUCUUAAUCGGAGAGGCUAUUCUCAUCGAGUUUUCGUUAAUUAAUGACGAAACCAUCAUCUUGGAUGUGAGCUUUUUCAGAACAUGACUGUCGAUUAUUACGUUGCACUUAAAAAAUACGUACAACAAUAAAAUUUCUGGCACUCUGCCUACAAAACAUGGAAAGUAAAAAAAAGGAAGUUGAAGACAAUGUAUAAACACGUUGAUUCAUAUGAUAACGUUGCAUUGUUCUUAGCCGCGACCUAUAUGUGAAAUGGUGAUCCGAAGAAAAUGCAUACAUAUAUUUUUGUCAAUUUCGAGUGAGAAAUCUUUGUUUCCAGAAUAAAUGCGUAGAUUUUAAAGCUGAUUAGAAAUGUAGACCAAAAUAAAAAUGUUGACUUCAAUUUGAAAAAAAUUCACCAUUAGGUUGUACAUCUAGCUGGUUUUUAAUCAUUUUUAUGCUCUUAAUCUUGAUCAAUGUCGCAAUCGAAAAAUUUGAAUAUUCAGAGAGAUUUCAGUGUAUAAAUAAAACAUCAGAUAACAUGGUAGUUGCAGUUUUCCCUCAGACGAACAUUGCAUAUUCGGUUCACGAAAAUGGCUAAAGCGGUGUUGGCCUUUCUUAUUUUAUCGUUCUUUGCAUUCGAGCUUUCGGUGGAAGCUUUUAUUACGUUGGAGGUUUUGGUGAAGAAAUGUAAAUGCGCUAAUUUUGAAUACGGCAUCCAACCAGUAGUGUGCCAACUGUUGAACAUCUCAACCCACGAUGAAUACGACUACAUGACUUUUCCCCCAGCGGACUACGACAGCCAUAAUGAUAAUUAAUAUAAACUCUCAUCUAAUUAUCCACCACUAUGGGAAAAUUUGUUAUAGCUCAAAAUCGAUUAAACGCUGAUCGACUUGAUAGUUCAUAAUAAUAAAAUAAGUUUGAAACACAAAAAGAAUGAUCGAUCAAUUAGCAUUUAGCUACGUGCAUCAAUUGUUUUGUAUUUCUUGCAGAAAGAUUCAUAUCACAAGUGAGAAAUUGGAAAAAAAAGUUAGAUAAAUUGAGUGAACAAUAAAAAUAUGAAUUUAUUUCCUUGAUGUAAUCGUACAAACUUUUUUUUCUACAUUCCCUGAACAAAGCUCCCAUCUGAAAAAUUGUAAGAGUCGCCACCAUAUAAAAGGGACAUGAUUUUCUAUUGCAUUCAGAGUUACUUCGCAAUUAUUCAUUGCGCGCUUUUGAGUUAUAUUCUUGAGGAAGUUGAUUACAGUAAAGGCCAGAAAAUGAUGAAAUUAUUUUGGGCCCUUUUUAUUUUAACGCUCUCCGCCUACCAGGCCACCGAAGGAUUUUUCUUUAAUAUCCCAUUUUUGUGUCAGAAUAAUACCGCUCUGUCCUUCAUUAAGCCAUUCUUCUGCAGCACUUCACUUGAACCAACCGAUUUUCUGUCGGAAAUUGAGCCACCCACUUUGUAGAUGAAGCUUCGAAAUAUGGAUUUUGGAUUGUACAAUCGAAUGAAAAUAAAAUGUAGCAAAGCAUGUUAUUGAGCAAAGCAAA